CGUUCAGCGUUCUACUCUGCUCGGCAACAAGACUCCCAGCGAGGUUUCUCGCCGUUUUCGGGAUCUGAUGCGUUUGUUCCGGACGGCGGCUCGUCAGACCGGCUCCGAGGACGAGGCCCCGCCCCCUGAGCCGGCAGCAGCCAAUGAGGAAGAAGAUUGACGUUACCCAAUCAGAGGAGCCGCAACAGAUGAAAUGUUUCUGGGGCUUUUAUUGUGAAAGGAUCCACAGACUGUAAUGUUUCUGGGGCUUUUAUUGUGAAAGGAUCGACAGACUGUAAAUAUGAAAAUAUCAGAUUAUUUAAUGUGUUUUUUGUCUUUUACAAUAAAACUGUUUUUUCAUCAAAAA